GCGCCCGUAGCUCAACGGAUAGAGCCGCCGGUUUCUACCCGGCUGGUUGGGGGUUCGAGUCCCUCCGGGCGCA
rnacentral:tRNA from 1 species